rnacentral:misc_RNA from 1 species
GAAAUGCGAUAAGUAAUGUGAAUUGCAGAAUUCAGUGAAUCAUCGAAUCUUUGAACGCACCUUGCGCUCCUUGGUAUUCCUUGGAGCAUGCCUGUUUGAGUAUCAUGAAAUCUUCAAAGUAAAUCUUUUGUUAACUCAAUUGGUUUCUACUUUGGUAUUGGAGGUCUUUGCAGCUUCACACCUGCUCCUCUUUGUUCAUUAGCUGGAUCUCAGUGUUAUGCUUGGUUCCACUCGGCGUGAUAAGUUAUCUAUCGCUGAGGACACUGUAAAAGGUGGCCAAGGUAAAUGCAGAUGAGCCGCUUCUAAUAGUCCAUUGACUUGGACAAUACUUUUAUGAUCUGAUCUCAAGUCAGGUAGGACUACCCGCUGAACUUAAGC